rnacentral:rRNA from 1 species
UCUUCGGAGUUAGUGGCGGACGGGUGAGUAACACGUGGGAACGUGCCUUUUGGUUCGGAAUAGCUCCUGGAAACGGGUGGUAAUGCCGAAUGUGCCCUUCGGGGGAAAGAUUUAUCGCCAUUAGAGCGGCCCGCGUCUGAUUAGCUAGUUGGUGAGGUAAAGGCUCACCAAGGCUACGAUCAGUAGCUGGUCUGAGAGGAUGACCAGCCACAUUGGGACUGAGACACGGCCCAAACUCCUACGGGAGGCAGCAGUGGGGAAUCUUGCGCAAUGGGCGAAAGCCUGACGCAGCCAUGCCGCGUGAAUGAUGAAGGUCUUAGGAUUGUAAAAUUCUUUCACCGGGGACGAUAAUGACGGUACCCGGAGAAGAAGCCCCGGCUAACUUCGUGCCAGCAGCCGCGGUAAUACGAAGGGGGCUAGCGUUGCUCGGAAUUACUGGGCGUAAAGGGAGCGUAGGCGGACAUUUAAGUCAGGGGUGAAAUCCCAGAGCUCAACUCUGGAACUGCCUUUGAUACUGGAUGUCUUGAGUGUGAGAGAGGUAUGUGGAACUCCGAGUGUAGAGGUGAAAUUCGUAGAUAUUCGGAAGAACACCAGUGGCGAA